rnacentral:rRNA from 1 species
AUUGAACGCUGGCGGCAGGCCUAACACAUGCAAGUCGAGCGAGCGGCGGACGGGUGAGUAAUGUAUGUGGAAUGCCGCAUAGAGGGGGAUAACUAUUGGAAACGCUGGCUAAUACCGCAUACGCUCGGAUUACCCAUAAGGGGUUAGGUAGGAGUUAAGGUAAUGGCUUACCUAGGCCACGAUCCCUAGCUGGUCUGAGAGGAUGAUCAGCCACACGGGGACUGAGACACGGCCCAGACUCCUACGGAGGCAGCAGUGGGGAAGAUUGCACAAUGGGGGCAAGCCUGAUGCAGCCAUGCCGCGUGUAUGAAGAAGGCCUUAGGGUUGUAAAGUACUUUCAGUAGGGAGGCGUUACCGACAGAAGAAGCACCGGCUAACUCCGUGCCAGCAGCCGCGGUAAUUC